AGGAAUAACCUUAAAAUACAAAGUUUUUUUUUUUUAUGAGAAAUAGGUAGCACGCUACCCGUUUCGUUUAUUUCAUUCAGAAAUAAAUUUAGCUGGAAAUGUGAAUCAAUUAGGAUUCGAACUUGGAAUCUCGAGUACCAACCACCAAGUACUUUGUCACUUGCUCUAGGGUCGGUCGGUCCUAAAAUACAAAGUUAUACGUAAUGUGGUUAAUUAACUGAGCUUUUCAGAUGCUUCGAGUAAGCUUCUAUAAUAAGAGAAUUAAGUAAGGCACAUCUC
rnacentral:lncRNA from 1 species